UUCAUAACGGAGCAGAGUGCUGUUAUAGAUCGCUGUAUGUAUGGAUAUAGCAGCCUAUAGCCUAAUUCUGUCUGUGAAACAGGUAGAGCUACCUCUUGUUUCUUAAAUAUGAAGUAAUAGGCUCCAACACAAAGCCCUCUUGUUGUUAGUAAAGUCUAAUUAAAUGAAGACGGUUUAAAUGAAUUAUUCAUAUUCCAAUUUGCCAAUGUUCUGCACCAUCAGCUGUCCAUUUCCAAUUGAUUGUGCCGUGACUGCUGCUUCAAGUUUCAGCACCACAAUGUAAGUAACUAAAAUCUGGCUUAUUGUGAUGUCAAUAACUAGGAUAAAUACAUCAUGGGCAAGAAAAUAUGGUUUUUAUUCAAAUCAAUUCUAGUAGUAGCAAUCUAUCAAAGUUGACCUCCGGUCCUCAAAUGCUCUCCUUCUCAAACUGAACAGAACAUAGGCUAUAGCCUAGUCUACGCGCAAGAUGUUGCAUUUUUUUGGACAAGGCCUUAAUCAAAAAUACUUUUCUGAGGAAUUCUUUGACUCUCCUCCUGAACUGCCACUGUAGGCCUACACAGCACAGCAUUGGUUAGGCAGAAAAAUCCCGGGUUUUGAUCAGCAAGGGCAGAGCAGGCCUCAGGGUUGGAAUAUCCGUUGCAGUGUGUAAUGCAGUCUAGUUUUAUUUACGCUAUCCCAGCAGCUAUCUUAGAAAUAUAACUUUUCUCUGUGCUUCUCUGAGGAUGCACUUUGUAGCCUAUAGUCUAUAGUCUAUGAAUGAUUUGAUUGAGACCACGCUAAAUAACCUUUAGGCACACGUCAUAUUUCACGCCCAGCAGAGAAUCAGGUGGAAUCGGGCAUCGAUAUAUAGCCUAAUAAGCUACUGAUUCUAAAACACUGAGAAAUAUUCAAAUUUCAUAAAUUACAAAUUACAUGACCCUCCCCUAUUUUCAUUCAGGUACCCACCCUGUACAUUUUUGUCCAUCUCUUAGCAUUACAAUUUUAUUGCGCAAACUAAGAAUGCUCUUAAGUUAAAGUUAUAAACAGAAGUGAUAGUAAUACUAUAAAUGAUUAACCGUUACAGAACUCAUCUGAAGGGUGACACAGCGUUUUUAGUCUGUACUCUUUCCCCCUCCCCCUCUAUUCCUAUUUCUCUCCCUCCUUCUCCACUCUUUCUCCUGUCAUAACCUCCCAUUGGUUCUACUACAGUAUGGACUGACUCAGGCUCUGCCCUGGCUGUAUUUCUGCCUUGUCAUUGUGACUCAGCAUUCUGGUGACCCAAACAGAGACAGAAGAGGAAGCAAGAUGUUCCACUCCCUCAAUGGUUCUGUUUAAAUGGAAGUCAGGGACUAAGCAGACCGCUAUCGCAUUGGUGUCUAUGGAGUAACCCCCCCUUAAGCAGACAGUGGUCCUGAGGCAUCAAAGCAUCUCCAAUCCAUCAUACUACCACCACUAUGCUUGACUGUUGGUAUGAUGGUGUUACUGUGCAAUGCAGUGUUUGGUUUUCGCCAGACAUAAUGGGACCCAUCCGUUGUAUAGGAAAUCAUGUCCAGUCCUAAUAGGCUGAAGAUUAUAUUAUGAAUAAAAGUAUUUUAUUGGU